rfam:[Clostridium] sordellii strain JGS6382 genome assembly, chromosome: 1
UGGGUGGUAUUUUAAUUAAACUGCACCAAAAUAUGAUUUUUUUAUUUUAUUAUUAGGAUAGCUCAUAUCUUUUAGAAUGAGACUAGUUA